GAGAGAGAGAGAGAGAACCAUUCACAGACCUUGGGGACUUUGUGGGAGAGUCAGGGAGAGAUAGAGAUAGACCUUGGCGACUUUGACUGUUGCUAAGAUUCUUGGGGUGGGGGCAGGAUUGGUGGCCUGGAUGAAUUCCCAAUUAGGAAAUUUCAUUCCAGGUUCUGAAACCCUCAGGGAACCAGCUGGCUCCAGCUGCCUCCGGUCCCUGUGGGAUGUGGCUAUCACCCGUCAGUCUUCCUACCAAGCUGAGUUUGGGUUGUGAGGAGGUGACUGUGGCCUCCAGCACCACGGUUUGCUGACAGACUGCAUGUGGCUUCUCCCCAAGGAGAGAAAGUGAUACCAGUGGAAGGCUUUUGAGGUUCCCCCAUUAAGGGGUAUCCCCUAGAUCUGUGCUAUUUACAUGGACUCAUUCCUUCCCUGAGUGAAGGAAAGGCUUGGUCAUAUUCAAAGUGCUUGCAUAUGAGGGCUCUCCUUGAGGGUCAUUUCAGGGUGGUAUGGUGAUCAUGAACCAUAGAGGAUGACAUUGGGGUUCAGAGAAACGAAGAGCUUCAGGAUAUUCAGUAAAUAAAGGACAGGACUCUUGUGAAAUUCCAUGGGCAGGGCCCUUGGCAAUAGCAGCUAAUGAGGUGAUGACGGGUACGAGUCAGCCUCACUGCUGGGAAAGGGCAAAAGGGCCUUUGCUGCCGGCUGAUGAGCCCUGAUCCUGGCCAGAAUCUGUUUCUGUGGGAGAAGUGGCCUGGAUUAUACCCCAAGCUCAGGAGACCAAGAUGGCUGUUGGCGUCACAUUGGUCUAGCAGGGUCCUUAGACAUGACCCAUCUUCACUUUUAUUUUUCUUUCUUGAAGAGAACAGGAUGUCCUCUGUCUCCAUGGCAACUGCUCCUCAGCUUGACAGGAACUGUGGACGAGCCACUACAUGGCAAACACAUCUCUUAUUCUUGGAAUGGGAGCUUCCGUUUCAGAGAGGAAAAGUCAAGGCUUAGACCUGUCCAAGGUCAAGGGAGCUAAGAAACAGAUCACAGAGUCUUCCCCACCCAGCGCUCUUUCCCAGAGCCCCAAGGGUUCCUGCUCUAUGCACUCUGGGCAUGAGAUUCCCCCAGGUUGUUUGACCCCAGUCUUCAUGAUGGGAUGUCAUAGGAGUAAUUUUAUUUAGUCCUGGAGUAGAUGCAUAGUUCCUUAGUUCUCUUUGCCCCAACCUGGGAUCUUACUCCCUUCUCAGAUCAUCUAUCUGCUUCUAGUCUUUCCUAGUUUGCCCAUAAGACUUCUGGUCUCAGCACUGACAUCCUGUGCAAUGGAAACCUCUUAGGUUUGAGCAAGUCACCCCCCACCCCCACAUCUCCACAGUCACCUAUGGCUACAGGCACAUGGAGACGACAUACACACUAAUAGCCACAAAUAGACAUUUGCAGAGGUGCCCCGCCCACUUGACCACAUGCAAACACAGUCCUGUAAUCACAAAGGCUGUUCAUAUACGGAUACACUCAGGCAUAGAGGAAGCUGAAGCAGUAGGAUCAGUUAGUGGGUAUGAGGGCUCAGGCCUGAAAUCCUGGCAGUUAGGAGGCGGAGACCGGAGUAUCGCUAUGAGAUGAAGGCAGGUCUGGACUACACAGAUUCCUAUCUCAAACAAACAAACUCUCCCUCCAAACAAAAAAGAAAAGACACUGAGCCACCCUGUAGAAUAUAGUGAGAUCCUGUCUUAAAGACAAACAGGCAGGCUCUCCCCUACCCCUACUUUCCUGGGGCUCAGUCUUUUUCUGUGAGACCCUAUGCACUGCCAAUUCUCCUCUGGGGAAGUAUGGAUUUCAUCAAACCUUGGUGUCCUACAAGAUCAUUGGCUCCCCCAAGGGGCAGCUGGUGUCUUUUUUGCUCAUCGCUGGGACCCCAGAUGUAAAAAUGCUCAAACAAAUAAGAGGGCUAUCACAAGAAUUCAAAGUAGAAACGAAUGAAUAAAUGAACUAAUGAAUGAAUUUCACCCUCCAGAAGCAGGGCCUACAGGAGAAUUCCUCCUGGACACUCCUGCUCAAGCCCUAGACCAAAGUCCUCCUCCAGGACCACUUAGAGUCUGUUGUAGAGCGCCUUCUGAGGGCAUCCAGCUUCAAACCUAGCCAGCCAAGGCCUCCUCAGAACCAAGGGCCAGGUUGGGUGAUAGAAACGUGUGUGCGUGUGUGUGUGUGUGUGUGUGUGUGUGUGUGUGUGUGUGUGUGUGUGUGUUUGCAGAGGAUUUCUCACUGAUGUAGAAGGUUCCAGGCUGGUUACAUGCAGGUGUUACUAGCCUUCUAACCCUGCUCUCUAUGCAGAGCUGAUAAUUCUCUGUGCCCUGGCAGUUUGGUACUCCCUGAAUCCCAAAGUAAAAAGCUUGCUCCUCCCACUGCAGGGCAUGCUGCUCUACCUGUGACCACUGUGGUGCCUGCCUCCUAGCAUGCCUGCUGCUGAGUAGUCCCUGCAUACCCUGCGUGAGGUGGUUAGCCUGCUGGAAACCCUCCAAAACUUGCAGAACUUCUAGGGUGUCCAGGCUCUUUAGUCUGGCACUGGGCUUGUGGGUCCUGCCUGCUCCCCAAGCCCUAUUCCAGGCCCUGUUCUAGGCUGCUCUUAGGGAUCUUGCCUCGGGACCUUCUUCUGCAAUACGCCAUGCUGCCUUCCUUCAAAACUGGGCCCACUGGUUCCUCCAGGAUCCUUCCGUCCUCCUUUGCUCUGUGUUGGGUACCUAGCAAAGAGUUUUUUUUUCUUUCUUUUUUUUGUUUUUGUUUUUGUUUUUGUUUUUACGAGACAGGGUUUCUCUGUAUUGUUUUGGAGGCUGUUGGUCCAGCCCGGCCUCAAACUCACAGAGAUCCGCCUGCCUCUGCUUCCCGAGUGCUGGGAUUAAAGGCGUGCGCCACCAACGCCCGGCUCCUAGCAAAGAGUUUUAUACUUAGCAAUCAGAGACUGCCGUUUUGCCCUCCCUGUUUGCAUCAGCAGAGAUCACAACACCUAACUGCUGGAGGAUUAGGAGAUACAGUGUAUACUGUGCACUGCCUCUCCUGAAGGAGGCUUCCAUCAGUGCCCACGGAGAUCAGACUCUGGGCUGGCUUCCUGACAAUGUUCCAAAAGCUCUCUCCCACCGCCAGGGUAAGGGUUCUCAGCCUUUCUCCUUCCCUGGGCCAGUCCUGGGGUUUCUCCUCCUCUCCCCCACCCCUAUUCCAGGGAGACUCUAUAAAGGGUGACUCAAGGAAAGGGUCACUCAGGGAAGGGGAGCGUGGCACUUGUGACUGUUCCUUCAUGCCAGGUGUCCUUGAUGCAGAUCCAGGCUCGCUCACAUCUAAGUGGAAGGAUUCGUGUACUUGCAUCACCCAGAGGGAGUCGUUCUUCGUGGUUCUCUGUCCCCUCGGUAAACAGAGGUUACCACGUAUGACUUCGCUGUAUGUGUUGAGCACAGCUACACCAAGCGAGUUGGGCACACUGCCUCUCCCAGAGGCUCUGUUUUCCCCUGGUUUCUUCUUGCUUGUAAAAAGAUUCGUGCUUUGUUUCUGAUGUGUAUAUGUACGAGUCUUCAUGAGUUAAAUUGUGUGUUCCUCAGACAUGCAGGAGUCUGAGGAGGCCAAAAGAGGGCACGGGAUCCCUUGGAACUGGAGCUACAGGUGGUUUUGAGUCACAUGACUGAGGGUACUGGGAACAGAACCCAGGGUCCUGCACAAAAGCAGUACACACUCGAGACCCAGAGCAUGUCUCUCUAUCCCCUCUUCUUGUUAGGGGGCUGGAACGCUGGUGAAAUGACUCAGCGAGUAAAGCACUUACCUCCCCAAACUCAGGGGACUGAGUUCCAAUCCCCUGAACCCAUUCAAAAGUAGAUUUUUUCCCCUAAGACAGGGUUUCUCUGUGUAACAGCUCUAGCUGUCCUGGAACUCACUAUGUAGACCAGGCUGACCCUGAACCCACAGAGAUCCAUCCACCUGGAUCUGCCUCCCAAGCACUGGAACAUUCCCUUAUUUUCUUUACAUUUAUUUAUGUAUACCUGUACAGGUAUAUGUGUCACAGCACACGUGUGCAGGUCAGAGGACAACUUUUGGAAAUGAGUUCUCUCCUUUCACCAUGUGAGUCUCGGGAAUAGAACCCAGGUCCUCAGUGCUCUUCCCACCUUGCUAGCUAGCUCCAAGUCAGUUUUAAGGUGCAAGCUUCAGUGAGGUUGAUUGGGGGGGUUGGUUUUGGAAGGGGUAACAGUGUCUCACUGUGUUGCUCAUGGAGGAUGCUCUCAAACUCCUGCGGUCUGGUGCUUCUUUGUCACCCUUUAUUUGUACCCCUCCCCCACCACAAUGCUAGCUUUAUUUUGCUCGUUAUUGUAUUGUGGCUCAUGAGACAAAACUUGGUACACAGUAUGUGCUUAAUAAAUACUCAAUGACACAAUUAAA